rnacentral:rRNA from 1 species
UACGAAGGGGGCUAGCGUUGCUCGGAAUCACUGGGCGUAAAGGGUGCGUAGGCGGGUCUUUAAGUCAGGGGUGAAAUCCUGGAGCUCAACUCCAGAACUGCCUUUGAUACUGAGGAUCUUGAGUAUGGGAGAGGUGAGUGGAACUGCGAGUGUAGAGGUGAAAAUUCGUAGAUAUUCGCAAGAACACCAGUGGCGAAGGCGGCUCACUGGCCCAUAACUGACGCUGAGGCACGAAAGCGUGGGGAGCAAACAGG